UUAAUGGUGUCUUUAGACACCACCUCUGUAUUUAAUUUUUUUUUAU
rfam:Picea glauca, whole genome shotgun sequence.